UUAUCGCUUCAAGAGAGGCCUAUGUCCUAUCAGCUAGUUGGUAGUGUAAUGGACUACCAAGGCUAUGACGGGUAGGGGGUGUGAGAGCACGGCCCCCAACAUUGGGACUGAGAACUGCCCAAACUCCUACGGGAGGCUGCAGUCGAGAAUAUUCCACAAUGGACGAAAGUCUGAUGGAGCGACGCCGCGUGCAGGAUGAAGGCCUUCGG
rnacentral:rRNA from 1 species